CCCUACUAAGGACUCUGAGCUAUCCCAAGGAUCAUGUACAUCUUCCUUUUUUUAUACAAAGAUAGAAGGCCAGCUUCCUUCUCCACAUCACUGAAAUCUUUAUCCUCUUUGUUCUCCCUCCCAUAUGGCUGUUUACCGUGAAUUAGAGGUCAAUUAUUAAACCCUAGAGGUACUUCAAGAAUAUCAGAGAGGCAGUUGCAGCCACAACAACACUUGUGAUGUCACAGAAGCAGCUAGGGAGUCCAGGUUACAAGAGAUACUUGCAGUAGGGCCAAAUCAUGAUGUCACUGUGAACUGCCAUGUCCUACCUGCUAAACAGAUUUCCCUACAUUGACCAGAUUUUGAGUGCCCUUUCCAGGAACUGUAAGAGCAGGAAGUCCAGAUGCUUCUGAGAGGACCCCAGCUUCUAAUUCCCAUUUGUAGACGGCUCAGAUCAAGACAAUCUCUUCAUGAAACAACUCAACACCUACUAAGGACUCAGAGAGCUUUCCCAAGGACCUUUUUUGUACCAAGACAGAAGGUCAGCUUUCAUCUCCCCAUCUCUGAUAUCUUCAUCCUAUUUGUCCUCCCUCCCAAAUGGCUCUUUACACUGAAUUAUAGGCCAAUUAGUAAACCAUAGAUAUAUGGAAUGAAUAUCUGAGAGGCAGUUGCUGUCAGGACAACACUUGUGACAACAUAGAAGAAGAUAGGGCUCUCAAGGAUACAAGAGAUAUAUUACGGGGGUACUAAGGAUGAUGUCACUGAGAACUGCCAUGGACUACCUGCUAAACAGAUUUCCUUACAUUGACCAGAUUUGACGGUGCCCUUUCUAGGAGAGUCUCCUAUGACACAGUGGAAACCUUUUGUACUCCAUCUCUCUAACGCUAGAGACUUCUCUUUGCUGCAUUAGUGUUUACAUGGUCUGAAUGGACAAAAUUAAUCGGGACUUGGCAUGGGUAGAAAAGAUCUAGGAAGAUGGAGUGGAGGAGAUUCUUCUUGAUAAUAAUUUUGCUCCCUGGUCCAUUCCUGUGACAUACAGUUCAAUUUCCUAGUUUUUCUCUGUUUCCCAAAGGCCAUUAUUUUCCAUACAGACCUUUAAUUGAGUGAAUAUUGUAUUUCAUUUUCUAAUUCUUCAUUCCUAGAUAGGGCACUUUGUAUUCAUUCCUGAAAGUGUACUCAAAAAUUCUCUUUUACAAUUGCAUUUUUGUAAUGAUUUUGGCAAAAAAGAGGGCCGAAGUAUAGAGUGCAGAGAACAGUGUAAAUAUUUUGUACCUACUUCAAAUGAUAAACUCCAAAUUCUUAUUUUAUCCAAAAAUUAUCAUACAUCAGUAAAUCAAAGACAACAUGUACUAUACAAUUCGUUUCUCUAUUCCCAUUUGAUAUCAUUUCUGCAAUAUCUUCCUUCUUGUGUUCCCAUGGCCACACUUGAGGUUUUUGGAUAUUUUACAAUGAUUCUUUUUUCAGGCCAAACAUAAGACUUAGGUGGAUGGGCAGGGAAAGAAAUGUUUUGAGUUCAACUGAAACCUCAAUUUCAAUAAGUUCAUAAGGACAGGAGGGACCUUUGCAUCUGUAGAUUCUACAUUCUUGUUCUAGAUGCGCAGAAUCAAUGGUAAAUUCCAUCUAACCUCACAUAGGAGACAAUAUAUAUAUGAUAGAUAGAUAGAUAGAUAGAUAGAUAGAUAGAUAGAUAGAUAGAUAGAUAGAUAGACAGAUAGAUAGAUCUGCCACUAAAAUAAGAUAAGAUUGUUGAAGUUAAGAAGUGCAUUCUGCCAGGAAGAGGAUAUAGACAUUUCCUGAGAAACACAGCUAGAAUAUGUCAAUUACAUAAGUGAAUGCUUGUGGCAAACCAGUUACUUGUAAAUGGAACUCUUGUUGAUAACUUUUGAGAAAGGAUUACAAGAGGUAAAGGGGUUUGCAAACCCAUAAGAAAAGCAAUGUCAAUGAACCAGAGCUUUCUAGUACUAGACCAAUAUUCAACGAAUGUACAUGGACAUACCUAUGGCUCCCACUGCAUAUUUAGUACCAGAUGGCCUUCUUGGGAACCAACAGAAGUAGAAGCUCUUGGUCCUCCCUAUAUUUGAUUCACAGUUCAUGGGAAUGCAAAGGGGUAGUAAGGGGAUUAUAGUAGAAUGGGAGGUGGACUGGUUAGGGAUCUUAGAGACAGGAAAUUGGAAAAGGAAUAACAUUUGUAAUGUAAAUAUAGAAAUAUCAAAUUUAAAAAAGCUAUAUAUUUUGCUAAAAAAGAAAAAAAUGAAAGAAAUAAAAGAAAAGAAAACUGCCAAUUAAUUACACCCUUUGACUCAGAAAUCUAAAGGGUCACUGUCAGGGAAUGGUAGUCAGAGUAAUACUAGUUCAAAGACGAAGAUGGUGAAAUCUCAAAUAGAAGCAAUUUUCUCUCCCAGAUAUCAGUGUCAGACACAAUCUGCACUCUAGGAAUCCAAAGCACAGAGUAAUUUACUCUGAGCUGAGGACACAAUACUUGUCUUUCCCUUCUUCCUUAGGACCAAAACCAUCAGCUUUAAAGAAAACUGUGCCCUUUCCAACACUUGGCUUUGGAAAAAAGACAUGAAUGAUAUAAAUUCUCCGACUUCCAGGAACCAUAACUAGCAGGGAAGUCCAGAUGCAUCUGAGAGGCUCCCAUCUCCUGAUUACCAUAUUUGGAAGGCUCCAAUCAAUACUAUCUUUUCAGCAAACCUUCUCAACCACUACCCAGAAAUGACUGAGAUUUCCCAUGGACCACAUAUUUCUUUUUUUUUAUAACAAAGCAGAAGGCCAGCUUCCUUCUUCCCAUCUUUGAUCAAUUCAUCCUCUUUUUUCUCCUUCCCAAAGGCUGUUUAUGCUGAAUUAGAGGCCAAAUAGUAAACCCUAGAGGUACUGAAGGACUACUGGAGAGGCAACUUCUGUCAGGACAACACUUGUUACAUCACAGAAGAAACUAGGGAUCUCCAGGAUACAACAGAUUUUUUUAGAUAGGCCUAAUGGUGAUGUCACUGAGAAUUGCCAUGGCCUACCUGCUAAAGUGUUUUCCUUUCAAUGACCAGAUUCGAGGGUGCCCUUGCAAGGGCCAGACGUGAAGGUUUUCGAGGUUUUACCAUGGUUGUUACUUCAGGACAAACAUAAAAUUCAGGAGGAUGUGCAGGGAGAUGAAUGGCUUGAUGUCCAGGGAAACUUCAACUUCAAUAGGUUCAUAAGAACAAGAGGGAGGUGUUUGGAAUUGCCAUUUGUGGAUUCUACAUUCUUGACCUAGGUGUACAUAAUCCAUGUGAAAAUUCCACCUAACCUCAUAGCUGUAGGAGCCACCAAAUGUAUAGUUGGAACCAGAUGUACAUCUUUCCUGAGAGACACAGCUUGAGCAAGUCAAAUACAGAAGAGAAUGCUACUGGCAAACCAGUGAACCAAAAAUGGAUCUCUUGUUGGUAGUUUUUGAGAAAGAAUUACAAGAGCUUAAGGGGAUUUCAAUUCCAUAAGAACAACAAUGCCAGUGAACCAGAGCUUUCUGGUACUAAACCAAUAUUCAAAGACUGUACUUGGACAGACCUAUGUGUCCAACUGCAUAUAUAGCAGUGGAUGGCCUUGUUGGGAACCAAUGGAAGGAGAAGUUCCUGGUCCAACCUAGGUUUAACUCUCAGUUCAAGGUAAUAUCAAGGUUCACUAAGGUAGGUUAUAGAAGAAUGUUAGGGGGACUAGUUACGGGUCUUAUGGACAUGAAACUGGGAAAGAAAAUCAAAUUUGAAAUUCAAAUAUAGAAAUAUCCAAAUAAAAAAAGCAAUAAAAUUUGCUAAAAAUUAAAAAAAAAAUGAAAUAAAUUAAAGAAAAGACAUCUGUCAGCUAAUUACACAUAUUGACUCAGAAAUCUAAAGGUUAACUAUCAGGAAAUGGUAAUCAGAGUAAUACUAGUGGAAAGACUGAGAUGAUGAAGUCUCAACUAGAAGCUCUUCUCUCCCAAAUAUCAGUGUCAGACACAAACUGCACUAUAGGUAUCCAAAGCAUGGAGGCGUUUACACUGAGCUGAGGAGACAAUACUUGUCUAUCCUUUGUUUCUUCGGACCUUUUUCUUCAGGGCAAAAAGAGUGAAAGCCAUGAGCUCUCACUAGAACAACUGUGCCCUUCCCAACAACUGACUUUUGGAAUGAAGAAAAUGAUUAUAUAAACUCUCUGAAUUCCAGAAACCAUAUCAAGCAGGGAAGUCCAGAUGAUAAUGAGAGAAUCCCAGCUCUGGAUUCCCAUGUGUGUAAGGCUCAGAUCAAGGCUAUCUCUUCAGAUACAACACUCAACGCCUACCCAAGACUCACUGAGCUUUCCCAUGGACCAUUUAUUUCUUCCUUUUUUUAUACAAAGAGAGAAGGCCAGCUUCCUUCUCUUUUAUCUCCCUAACAAAUGGCUGUUUAGCCAGAAUAAGAGGUCAAUGAGUUAACCCUAGAGGUCCUCAAAGAAUAUCCAAGAGGCAGUUGCUGUCACCAUGACACUUGUGACAUCACAGAAAAGCUAGAGCUCUUCAGGAUACAAGAGAUAUUUCAGGGAGGACCUAAUGAUGAUGUCACUGAGAACUGCCAUGAUCUAACUGUUGAACAGCUUUCUUUACAUUGACCAGAUUUGAGGGUUCCCUUUCCAAGAGUGUCUCUUGUGACACACUGGAAACCUUUAAAUACUAUAUAUCUCUAAUGCUGGAGACUUCUCUUUGCUUCAUUAGUACGUACAUGUUCGGAAUAGAGAAUGUUGGUCAGGGGCUUGGCAUGGGUAUAAAGAUCUAGGAACAUGGGGUGGAGGAGAU